GGAACACCCGGUCCCAUUCCGAACCCGGUAGUUAAGCCUUCCAGCGCCGAUGGUACUGCACUCGUGAGGGUGUGGGAGAGUAGGACGCCGCCGAAC
rnacentral:rRNA from 1 species